rnacentral:lncRNA from 1 species
UCAGAUGGUAGAUGGUCUGGGGCUAGAUUGUGGGGGCGUGGGUUGACAAACCGUAGGUUUUGUGCAGGAGGCCUCUGUUCUGAUCUGGAGGGUCUAAGCAAAAGACUCGAUUUUGGGGUGCUAUUGGGGAGGGACUCAAGUUAUACUUCGUUCCAGAUUGAGGAUUUACUUGACGGUGGAGAGUCUGGGAUCUGAUCUUGGGUGUUGUCGCAGGUUGGGGGUUAGAUUUAGGGUUUAGGUUGGGUUUGAUGUUUGCUUGUUGAAGGUUUCCGGUACUUUGGAUUGACUUGGGUCAGUUUUGUGAGGAUCUUGAAACUGGGGGGCAUGGAGUGGUUGGCUGAGGUGGCAGGAUGUGAUUUGUGAGUUGCUGGGUCUCAAGGAGCAGGUGGUAGGGCCUGGCUCAGGGUGGGGUGUGGACUCUGGGUCCACCUGGCAGUUGACGUCUGUGCAGUGACUUGAUGGGAUGGGGAGUCUCAUCUGAAGGGUACAGGAUGUGGACUAGUUUGGGAAAGGCACGGGUAAUGGAGGGAGGGCUUUGGGGUGACUGAGGACUCCGAUUAAGGGUUGUGCUGGGUCCUAUUGGGUGAUAGUAAGAAGGGGAGGGGACUUGGGGUGGGUUCUCUGUGACUCCAGAGCUUGAGUGAGAUGUUGGGUGAGAUGAAGUUUAGGAGCUGAGGAGGAGGGUGGUCCUGAGCUUUAGAAUCAAGGUGGCCUGGUAUGGGAGGUUGCCUUGGCAGCAUUGGGAGUAGGAUGGCCCAGCUCCCUGCUGUGAACCACAGUGCUGAAAUGACACAGCCUGAGGACCUGAUGGUGCCCUGCCUUGCUCCAGAAGGGACAGAGCCUCAGAGUUCUAGGGUCGCCCUCCAUUGCUGUAGUAACCUGGGUCCGGGGCCUCGGUGGUGCUCCUGAUGUCCCUCACCCACCCCUGAAGAUCCCAGGUGGGCGAGGGAACAGUCAGCGGGAUCACAGUCUUUCAGCUAGCAUCCUCUACUCCGUGAGUACCUGUGGGGAGCCCUGGUGCCUGCCUCUGCAGAGUGAGCUGGCCAUCCUGACAGCCCUACU